AGAUUUCGACAUUGUACAGUACAAGGCUCUUCCAUUCCACAGGUUAGUUUACCAAAAUCUCACAGACCAUUCCUCCCUUACUGACGAGCACAGGGAACGGUUAUUGGUUUGGUUUGGUUUCCGUCUAAGGGCGCGUGCGAAACGGAAACCAAACUAUUGCUUUGGUUUUUAUUGUGUUUAGUCCUCUCGGGUUUCAUUCGUUUCGCCACAAUUUUCAGCCUUUUGUUUUUCCUCUUUUUAUGCCUUGUAUCAUCGAGAGGGAAAAGUCUCUUUUCUCUCGGAUAUAAAAAGGGAAUAGGGUUAAUAUUCCCUAACGCAGACACAGAGAUUGUGGCUCUUUGAGUCACUUGCGCGGUAACGCAUUCGAACUUGGUUACGUCGCUCAGAGACCGAGCUAGAGUUCUCUUCUCUAGUUAAGGAACGGACUCCCUGGAAUCGGUUCAGCCGUAGAUAGGGACGUUGUUUCCGUAAAGCAUCGCGGUUUCUGUGAUGUCUCGUGUUCUCUGGACGGCCCUUGAAAAACCAAGGAAGGCUAUUAAUCUGUGCUGCAUCGUACCGAUAUCCGCAUCAGGUCUCCAAGGUGAACAGCCUCUAGUCGAUAGAAUAAUGUAGGUAAGGGAAGUCGGCAAAUUAGAUCCGUAACUUCGGGAAAAGGAUUGGCUCCAGUGACCGGGUCGGUUGGCCUGUUAACU
rnacentral:ncRNA from 1 species